CCUACGGGAGGCAGCAGUGGGGAAUAUUGCACAAUGGGCGCAAGCCUGAUGCAGCGACGCCGCGUGAGGGAUGACGGCCUUCGGGUUGUAAACCUCUUUCACCAGGGACGCGGUACCUGGAGAAGAAGCACCGGCCAACUACGUGCCAGCAGCCGCGGUAAUACGUAGGGUGCGAGCGUUGUCCGGAAUUACUGGGCGUAAAGAGUUCGUAGGCGGUUUGUCGCGUCGUUCGUGAAAACUUGGGGCUUAACUCCAAGCGUGCGGGCGAUACGGGCAGACUUGAGUACUACAGGGGAGACUGGAAUUCCUGGUGUAGCGGUGAAAUGCGCAGAUAUCAGGAGGAACACCGGUGGCGAAGGCGGGUCUCUGGGUAGUACUGACGCUGAGGAACGAAAGCGUGGGUAGCGAACAGGAUUAGAUACCCUUGUAGUC
rnacentral:rRNA from 1 species